UGAACUUUCCUCAAGGUUGAUGUAGUUGGUGAUGUUUAGAUUAUAUAUUUAUGAUCUGUCCUGUAGAGGGCUUCUCAUUUGUGUUGGUAUAGUUUGCUAGGUAUGUUUUUUAUUUUUUAUUUUUUGCAGAGAGAGUAAAUUAUGAUCAAUUCUCACCAGUCUACGUUCAGGUUGAAUCAAAAUAGAUGCAUUAGUGAGCAUAAAACAUAGAGAAUAGUAUGGAACUGGUUAACAAAAUACAUAAAAUAAAUAAAAUACAUGUAAGAAGCAGAAGUGUUAUGAGCUGUACAGAUUGCUUUAGGGCUCCGUCAAUAUUCCAUGGGACUGUGAAAAUGUAUUCCAUAAUAAAAACCAACAUCCCUCCAUUUUCUCAAAGUGUUGAGAUGCGUAACUGAAUUAUCUAACAACAUGACUUCUGAUUGGCUGAACGGAUGACGCACGGAAACCACGUCAGGAAGAACGUGAAAAACAGAAACGCCGAACUAGACGCUAGGCUGCGAGUAGCACGCUACAAAUGGAGGGGAAAAAAAGAGACUGAACAUAAGCUUCGCCAGACUGAGGUAAUGGGCGAGACGGCAACUGCACGUGAUAGCGCUCCAGGUAACCAGGGGAAACCAUGGUAACUCGACUGGCAACGCUGGAUAAAGCUGGGCUUCAUGUGAGUAGUAGACUUUGCUGCUUUUGUGGAAGACAGUCCGCCGGAGAAACCAGCUAGCUCUCCGUGCUACUAGGUCCUCUGACGACGCGGGAUACAGCGACAUGUGCCGCCGGACUCCGCCUGCUCCACGUGGUUGGGAGGCGUCACUCAAGGUCAUGGACAUUUCACCGCAGCUAAGAUGCAUGAGGGACGUUUAUAAGGAAACAUUUGAGUUGGGGGACUGCAGUUGUUCACGGUGCAGACUGAGACAAAUGUGUGACGGUGGUGGAAAUUACAGGCGCCUACAUCGCUCAGUCUGGUUAGAGAAACAUGGACGGAUGGAGAGAGAGAGAAACAUUCCUCCAGGUGGAAAGGUCUUCACAAACCAAAACACUGGGAUCAUGUUUAGGUUUACUGAAUCCUAAAAAGUAUUGCAACAAAGCAAAAGCAUCUGCUUGGAUUGCAAAUCAAAACGACCACCUCUGGACCCCGCUCCAAUUUGUCCGUCCGCCCUGAACUUGUAAAACGGAUCCUAAUACGAUGAGCCGGAACGCGGCGCGGCGCUCCUGACCGCCUGAAACUCAGCGGCAACAGAUGGAACAAUGAGCUCCUGCGUAUCAGGGAUCUGGCCUCCGCCGCGCAAGUAAUUCAGCCAGGAUCACACACAAACUUAAAACACUGUAAUCCAUUUUUCUGAACAAAAAACAUCUGGGACCGAAAAUCCACUAAUCUGAUAUUAAAUCCGCCGAUUUGUUGAAAAACAGUGAGAUUAGCCAGAAUGUCAGGAAGAAGAAAAAAAACGGACUUAACUGCAUUUGAGGAGGAGGAGGAGGAGGUUGGAUUGUGUGUGUGAGGCUUUGUGUGAGUUUGAGUGUGUGUGCUGGUAUUGUAUAGUUAAUGUUGGGUGUUUGCGCUGUCCUGGCUCAUGUAAGAGGCUUGUCUAAUCUCAUUGGUGAUACCUUCUGUCUGUCAUGCACUCCUCUCUUUAUUAUUCCCCCACUUCAUUGCUCUGGAAAAAAAAGGAAAGACUAAUCCCCAUCUCUCUCUCUCUCCCGUUCCCUCCCUUCUCCUCACUCCUAUGUCUCUCUCUGUCUCUUUCAGUCACUAAUAAACACAUAACAAUGAAGCCGCCCUGCAGGCAAUAGCAGCACGGAGGAACAACACAAACACUAAUUAUAGCCUGUUACAUAUGUGUAAUAUUUGAACUAUCAGUGCUGCAUGAAAAAUGGAUUAGGAGUAAAAAAAAUAGUGAUUCAUUUAUGUCAUUUUUUCUUUAUGUGUGCAUGUGGUUAGGAAGGAUUAUGGUGCUGUCAUCACAGUACUGCUAGAAAAAACACUGUUCUUGUUGUUAUAGAAACGCUGCAGACACUUAGUCUUAAAAACUUUGAGAUUUCCACUUAUGGAAAUGUAUCUUUCUGGUAAAAAUGUUUGCAGCUUAAGAAAUGGAGCUUGUACAUCUACAGUUUGUUUAGAGAUGGACUGGUAAGUUUUGAUUGGUCAAAAAGCCUCACUCAUAAGUGUUGAAGUUGUUACUGAUGGAAGUAGACUCACAGCUAGAUACUUUUAAUGUCAGUAAACAGUUAAAAAGUAACUGUGUUCCCUAUUAUCCCUAAAAUAAAAUCUGGUACCAGUGACAAUAUGCCCAACCCAUGUCUAAUUCUACUCUUUCUGCUCUGAGCUUUACUUUAUUUUACAUAUUUAGAAUUCCUAAUUCCACUUUCUGAACUAUUUGAAAGAAGAUUUGUUGCAUUUUGUUUUUAGUUUGACCAACAUAGUCAACCUAUUGCUUUUGUCAGUUUAAGUUUCUUUAUUUAUUUUACAUUGGCUGUUAUUCUCCUAAUUUCACUGAUUGAACAAAUUAAAGUUGUUUUUGCAUAUUUGAACAAAGCUUGUAAAGUUAUUGAUCAAUUUAAGUGUACUUAAAUUGUACUGAUGCAGAGUUAUAAAAUAAA